rnacentral:rRNA from 1 species
AAUGCGUAGAGAUUAGGAAGAACACCAGUGGCGAAGGCGGCUUUCUGGACUGUAACUGACGCUGAGGCACGAAAGCGUGGGUAGCAAACAGGAUUAGAUACCCUGGUAGUCCACGCCGUAAACGAUGGAUACUAGGUGUAGGGGGUAUCAACUCCCCCUGUGCCGCAGUUAACACAAUAAGUAUCCCGCCUGGGGAGUACGGUCGCAAGAUUAAAACUCAAAGGAAUUGACGGGGGCCCGCACAAGCAGCGGAGCAUGUGGUUUAAUUCGAAGCAACGCGAAGAACCUUACCUGGACUUGACAUCCCUUGCAUAGCCUAGAGAUAGGUGAAGCCCUUCGGGGCAAGGAGACAGGUGGUGCAUGGUUGUCGUCAGCUCGUGUCGUGAGAUGUUAGGUUAAGUCCUGCAACGAGCGCAACCCUUGUUAUUAGUUGCUACCAUUAAGUUGAGCACUCUAAUGAGACUGCCUGGGUAACCAGGAGGAAGGUGGGGAUGACGUCAAAUCAUCAUGCCCCUUAUGUCCAGGGCUACACACGUGCUACAAUGGUAGGUACAAUAAGACGCAAGACCGUGAGGUGGAGCAAAACUUAUAAAACCUAUCUCAGUUCGGAUUGUAGGCUGCAACUCGCCUACAUGAAGCUGGAGUUGCUAGUAAUCGCGAAUCAGAAUGUCGCGGUGAAUACGUUCCCGGGCCUUGUACACACCGCCCGUCACACCAUGAGAGCUGGUAACACCCGAAGUCCGUGAGGUAACCGUAAGGAGCCAGCGGCCGAAGGUGGGAUUAGUGAUUGGGGUGAAGUCGUAACAAGGUAGCCGUAGGAGAACCUGCGGCUGGAUCACCUCCUUUCUAAGGAGA